GGUCCUGGAAGACCAUAUUGAAUUGUGCUGGCCUGGUCUCAGGGUCCAUGAAGCAAAGUCAACCCCAGAGACCUCUCCAGACUACUCAGCUCCCAGGUCAGGUGAGAGAGCCCUUCCUGAGACACAGAUUCUGUGGACCUGCAAGGCCAAGGAUAGAACAGAAAGAGAAAAACAGGCAAGGCCAUGGUCAAGAACUGAGGUCCUUGCAGGAAAGGGCAGAGGCUCUUGGCUAUCUUGGGGGGCUGUGGACCCAGGCUCCACCAGGGAGUCUGUUCAGGCAGCCUGAAACCAGCAGAGUCUGUCACUCAGACACUGGGAGGGCUGACUGGACCCUAUCCCUAGAGCUGGACCUCCAGGACCUGUGCACAGAGGAAGAAGAAAGCCAGGAGCUGGAGGAGCUGUGGACCAGCACCUAUACCUUCAUCUCCUUGUUUCUGCUCAGCGUGAGCUAUAGUGCUACUGUCACUGUCCUCAAGGUGAAGUGGGUCUUCGCCGCCGCACUGCAGAGCACUCCCCAGACCCUCCAUGACUAUACCAACGUCCUGCAGCCAGGGGCCUAGGCUCGGCGCAACACCCACACAUGCACCAAGGUCCAGAAGGUUCAGCCCAAGGGUCAAGGUUCCAGGGGCUGCCUGGCACACUCACCCUCUCUGAAACAGCCCUGUCCUUCAAGAAGAGUAGGCAAGACCAGACCCAUGGGCAUUUAGGCUGUUUCCUGAAGAUAAGAACUGAAGAACCACAAAAACACGUGAGUGCCUGGACCCCAUGGCCUGGCUACCACCUAGUGUCCAGCCAGCCCAGCAAGCAAGAUCCAAGUCCAAACACAAUGUGGUCCCUUCUGCCCUCAUUUCCCAAGUGUGAAAACACAGAUACCUCCUCCAAUGGAAGGCUGCAAGGUUGCUCAGAUCCUAGGCUGUAGGGGAAUCUCCAGGCCCAAAGAAGGCCUCCCAUGGAGACACAGCCUCCCUGACCUCCAUGCCUGGCCCAGCCAUCCUGUUCCCAUCUCUGUGUUGCUUAGUA